rnacentral:rRNA from 1 species
AUGCACUCCUCACAGCCGCCCGCCGUGAGCGAUUCAGCCGAUGCCGCCGCCAGCGCCCGCGCGCCACCACCCGCUCCUCCUCUCCUACCAGAUCGAGCCGCCACCUCCCUCCCCAUCCCCGCGCGCUACCAUCCGCUCCUCCUCUUCUGCCCGCGCACGCACAGCCUUGGCUCCUGCUGCUCUUCCCGAUUGAGGAGGGGGAGGAGAGCGAGAGGGGUAGCAUGGUGGCCAGCGAGGGGAGCACCAUCACGGGAGCCGCGUCCUCCCGGUCCACGGCCACGUCUUCUGCGACCGCGAUGGGCAGGGUCAACAACCUCGACCUCAAGGGCGUCGGCCUCGUCGGCGCCCUGCCCCCCACCUUCUCCUCCCUCGACGUGCUGCAGGACCUCAGCCUCUAGACCAACGCGCUCUCCGGCCCGCUCCCCUCCUUCCGCGGCAUGGCGGCCCUCCGCCACGCCUACCUCAACGACAACGCCUUCUCCUCCCUCCCCAAGGACUUCUUCGACGGCCUCGACAGCCUCGAGGAGAUCUGCCUCGACAACAACCCGCUCCUGCCAAUCCAUCUCUGUUGUUCUUCUUCUACCUCUGCCUCGACCCCUCCUCCCCUUGUAUUCUUCUUCUACCUCUGUUGUUCUUCCUUUCCACAUCACAUCUCAAGUGGUCGUGUGUAGGCACUGUACAUCCAUAUCAUCUCCUUGCAUGGUGAAGGUGACCAGGCCAUGGAGAGAAAAGCUCCUGCCAAUCGCGAUCGACAUCGUGAAGGACGGAAACAUAUCAGGUCACCUAUGUAUGCGAGAGGCUCCUAGAACACGUGUGGUGUACCUCAGAGCUGCCUUUGGAACAACCAUGUCUCAUGUGUCUGACAUUGUUGGACCGACUGGGUUGGUGUAUGCCGUUGAGUUCUCUCACCGGAGUGGUAGGGAUCUUGUCAACAUGGCCAAGAAGAGGACCAAUGUCAUCCCCAUCACUGAGGAUGCAAGGCACCCGACAAAGUAA